GCUCCUCCUUGCCGCCAGCUCCUUCGCCGCGGCCAAUGCCAAGGCUACACCCCCGUCUGCCACCGCGGCGGCAGGCGCCCGCGCCGGCUCCCCUGCCCCGGUUCCGACGCCGUGGCCGGAGCAGUUCCACGCGGUGAUUUUCACGAACCUCACCGAGAGCGGCGGCCGGCUGCAGCUGAUAGACAUCUACUACGACUGGCCCAAGGGCCGCAACCUCAACCUCAUCCACAACCAGCUCUCCGGCGACCCGACCUACAACGUCGAGUGGGCCAACGGCACCUCCUACCUCUUCGACGCCGCGUCCUGCUGGACCUUCCACUUCGCCGUGGGCCUCCUGCCGCCCGACUGGAUGAAGGCCCGCGGCGCCGCCUACCUGGGCCGCGGCCGCCUCGACGGCUUCGACUGCCACGUCUGGUCCAACUUCCUCUUCGCACGCUACUACGAGGACGCCGCCACCGGCCGCCCCGUCGGAUGGAACUUCAACGGUCGGUGUUCAACUAAUUACGACCUGCAAAUCCCCGUCUUGAAUUAGUUUCUUGAUUAUUCUGCCUAGAAUUAUUCUAAAUUCUCUCCGUUCUGCGGAUGGUCAGUACGAAUGAAUCAGCUUGAUGAAGCUAGCAGAACAAGUUUAUGAUGAUUGCUUCAUGUGAUCUUUGUUUUCCAGGGAUGUUGCGGCAUGUGCUGAGCUUUGAGGCAGGGGCAGUGCUGUCGGACUCCGGCAAGUGGCAGGCGCCGGCUUACUGCUUCAAUGGCAGCAACGCCGACGCCCCUGCUCCUUCUCCGGUUGAUCAGCUGAUUCGCCGGGGCUCCGGCAGCAGCUAAAGGUCCUCCACAGUGUGUUGCCAGAGUGAUGCAAAAUACUAUUUUCCAUACCAUUCAAUAGGAAAUCUGGCACCCCCACUCCCUUUGGCAGCAUCUACUAAUUUGGAACUUAAUUUGAAAGCGAUAUUUCGACCCGGACACUUUUGGAUGCUUCUAAUAACCAACGAAUAGCAAGUGCUCUUCCUUGUUUAGAUCCUAUUUCAAUCGGAACUUUCCGCGUCGAUCCUUUUUUAUUACGUCUUGUUUUUACUCCUAUAUUGGGAGUUACUCUACGUAUUGCUUGACGUAAAACCAAUAGUGGAUUUGUUUCUGUCUUUUGUUGAAUCUUUUUCACAGGCUCGAUAGAGAAGUUGAUAAGCCAAUGAUUUUUUUCCGUCUUUCAUAAUACGGUUAACCACCAUGUUAACUAAUCGAUUACGAAAAAUUGGAUCGGGUUUUGCGGUUCUUUUUUCUGCAGUACCUCGACGUGACAUGAACCUAUUGGGAAUUAGUCCUACACUUGUCCUAUCAUACCUUCUUCGUGUAUACGAAGUAGUAGACUUGACUAACUCAAUUCUUAGGAAAUCGCGAAUCAGAUCAUUUGUUCUUACCUCAACAAGAGCUCUGUUGCCAAAGAAUAAGUAGUUGAUAGCAAAAAACAGUUCAAGGCAGAAGUCUCUUGAGAAUGCAAAAGGCCUGCAAACCUAGUUCACACGAGUGGAUUCUUUCACAGCUCGUGCACCGAUUUUAUCCAGAUUUUGACUCUUUUCUUUGCCAGGUUAGUUGAUCAAUGCGAAUUGUCAAGGUAAGUUGUUGAUCAAAUCCAAAUUGACCAUGCAACGCACCACUAACUUUCCCAAAUGGGUCAACGAAAAGUGCCACCCAAUGUUCUAGUACGAGUACAUCCAGUUCCGGGUGGUCAUCUAGUAUGGGACCUAAGAGAAACCCUUUUUGAAUCCUUUUAUUAAGCCAUUGCUAAUCCCGUAAGGCAAUCCUUCAACGUUGUAGAAAAGAGUUCAAUACAAAAGCAUAGAAAUUAUGUACGCCAAUAACAAAUACGAAUACGAAUUACGCCUACGAGCCUACGCAUUGGCAUGUUUCUUAGUAUAAAGCUAAGAACGAGAAUAGCCUACUGCCUCCACUCGGAAAAGGUAUCUGGUUCCUUUCAUCCAAAGAAAAUAAGGAUACGCAGAUCGAUGCAAAUCACAGCUAAGGGAAUCUUUUCCUAUAACUGCUAACGGCGGACCGUGUCUUUUAGCCCUCACUAGAUGACAACUUGCUUACUUUUUCACUUCUUCUUAAGCUUGGCAGACUAGUUCCUGACUGACUUGAUAGUGCGAUGAGCUUACUUGCUCUAGUUCCGUCUUUCCUCGCUAGGACGACGAAUUCACUCUAUCUGAAGAUCUGAGAAAGGCGCUGAUUACAGCUCUGUCCUUGGAUGGACCAUAGGCCUGAUGCUAGGAGAGUGUAGUUCGAGCAUUCUAUUGUGUGUUCGUGAUACGCAAAGCAAUCUCCUGUUUACUAAUGAUCUAAUGACAGUUGAUUGAGACUUGCCAUUGUCGUCUUUCGAAAGCGAACUCUUAUCUGGUUUCACUCGGGGUCUCCUGUCGACGGGAAGUGCUCGGUUCGGAUAACUUCUGUUUCCGUACCGGGAUCAGCAGGAGGGGAAUUUGAGGUUCUUGGUCCUCUGCGAAAUCAGUCCGCCAACUUGCUCUUUUCGUGCAUGACAGGUGCUCAUUCUUACGAAUGGUGGUGUGGCACAGCCCUUUACAUUUUCAAAAAAGCAGGAGCAACUUUCCACCUCGACUCCUUCCUUCCCCUCAUUCUAAGCCCGGCCACCUUUUCUUGUUUCAGUAGUUCUCCCCGCGAGCUCCUCCUGCAACUCCUCGAGAUCUAUUUUACAACUUUGCCCCAUGCCUGGACCAGUGGGCCCUCAAAUCAUGAACUAAUUAGGCUUAAUAGAUUCGUCUCGCGAAUUAGACUUCAUCUGUACAAUUAGUUUUUUAAUUAGACUAUAUUUAAUACUUCUAAUUAGUAUUUGAACAUACGAUGUGACAAGAAUUUAUCCGAACACCUCCUCGAGAUCUAUUUUACAACUUUACCGGACCAGUGGGCCCCACGGCUUUCUCCACCACUCGGUCACUUCAGCUUCGACUGGUCAGUAGCACUCGCCAAGCGAUAAGCUCGGGGCAAGCCGCAACAGCCGCCGAUGUUGCCGCCGCCGCCGCCGCCGCCGCCGCCCCUUAUGCUUCUCCCGCUCCUCCUUGCCGCCAGCUCCUUCGCCGCGGCCAAUGCCAAGGCUACACCCCCGUCUGCCACCGCGGCGGCAGGCGCCCGCGCCGGCUCCCCUGCCCCGGUUCCGACGCCGUGGCCGGAGCAGUUCCACGCGGUGAUUUUCACGAACCUCACCGAGAGCGGCGGCCGGCUGCAGCUGAUAGACAUCUACUACGACUGGCCCAAGGGCCGCAACCUCAACCUCAUCCACAACCAGCUCUCCGGCGACCCGACCUACAACGUCGAGUGGGCCAACGGCACCUCCUACCUCUUCGACGCCGCGUCCUGCUGGACCUUCCACUUCGCCGUGGGCCUCCUGCCGCCCGACUGGAUGAAGGCCCGCGGCGCCGCCUACCUGGGCCGCGGCCGCCUCGACGGCUUCGACUGCCACGUCUGGUCCAACUUCCUCUUCGCACGCUACUACGAGGACGCCGCCACCGGCCGCCCCGUCGGAUGGAACUUCAACGGUCGGUGUUCAACUAAUUACGACCUGCAAAUCCCCGUCUUGAAUUAGUUUCUUGAUUAUUCUGCCUAGAAUUAUUCUAAAUUCUCUCCGUUCUGCGGAUG
rnacentral:lncRNA from 1 species